UUAUAUUUGGUCUUAACGUGAAAGAAAAGCUGUACGACUGGAGUCAUCACAAUUCACAAGCAAAAAGACGUUGUCGUUUCAGCUUCCACGCUAUAUAUGCUACGGCCUACUUUUCUCCUCUAUGUUUUCCGAUCCGUCAACAAUAACUACCUCUUUCCGCGUACACCAACCGCUCCUCACCCUCUCCCCAUUCGCACCGCAAACCACGCAAAGACAAGAAUAUUGGAAUUUGGAAGCAGCGAAAGAUGAAAGGGAAAAAAACAAUUUCCUAAAGAAAGACUUCUUUCAAGUUUUCCUCGAAAAUGAUUUCAAAACUAAUCCUGACAUGCAAGUCACGACCUCGGAUUUCUAGCAACACAUGUUGACUAUACUACAGAAUUUUGUUUGGCGGAUUUAGUUAAGUUAUGCCCAUGGUUGGAGAUGGAGCAGUGUCUGUUUUUGCGGCAAAGCAAAAGCAUUAUUAGUGGAUGGGUGAUCACAACCAACACUCGCUAUUUCGCUAGUCAAGCCCGCACAUUGAAAUGGGGUCUUUUGAUGGAAGAGCAGUUCUUGAGUUCCAUGAUGAGAGCCUAGUAAGCCCUGAUCAUGUAAUCGGGAGGCCAAUAUCUCUCGAUCCUUCUCCCCGGAGAUCAUUCUUUUAUACCAGUUCUGAUGAUUUCAGCUGUAAAUGUAUAUUGAAUAGGAUGUUAGCCAGCAUUAAAAUCGUCUUCUUAUCCAAAAAGUUAAACAUUCUUAUAACCUGUGGUCCUCUGGCUGUUCUUGUUGAUAAGUUUUCUAAUCGUCAUGGGUGGAUCUUCAUUCUAAGCUUGUCAGGCAUCAUACCACUUGCGGAGCGUUUAGGUUGGGCAACAGAGCAGCUUGCUUUCUUUACUGGCCCAACAGUUGGAGGGCUUCUAAAUGCCACUUUCGGCAAUGCAACAGAGUUAAUAAUAUCAAUGUAUGCACUUAAUCGUGGCAUGAUGCGAGUUGUUCAGCAGUCACUUUUGGGCUCGAUUCUCUCAAAUAUGUUACUCGUGCUCGGGUGUGCAUUUUUUGCUGGUGGACUUGUUUAUUCUCAUAAAGAACAGGUUUUCAACAAGGGAACUGCAGUCAUGAAUUCAGGGUUGCUUUUGAUGGCUGUAAUGGGGCUUCUGUUACCUGCGGUCCUCCAUUUUACACACACCGAGUUGCAUUUUGGAAAAUCGGAGGUCGCACUUUCUAGGUUUAGUAGCUGUGUAAUGCUUGUAGCAUAUGGUGCUUAUCUUUUCUUCCAGCUGACAAGCGAAAAGAGUCUUUAUAUGCCGAUUGCAGAGGACGCAAAUCGAAAUGACAGUGACAAUGAAGAAGAAGAAGCUCCCGAGAUAUCCAUGUGGUCGUCAAUCAUAUGGCUUUCCAUUUUGACUGCAUGGAUAGCUCUUCUAUCUGAAUAUUUGGUUAACACUAUAGAGGGAGCAUCUAUUGCAUUGAACAUUCCCGUGGCUUUUAUAAGUGUCAUCCUGCUCCCGAUUGUUGGCAAUGCUGCAGAACAUGCUGGCGCUAUCAUGUUUGCUGUGAAAGACAAGCUUGACAUCUCUUUGGGAGUGGCUAUCGGAUCUUCUACACAGAUAGCCAUGUUCGGGAUCCCUUUCUGUGUUGUCGUUGGGUGGAUAAUGGGGCGCCCAAUGAACUUGGACUUCCAGCUUUUCGAAACAGCCACCCUGUUCAUGAGCGUUAUUGUAGUAGCCUUCAUGGUGCAGGAAGGAACUUCAAAUUACUUUAAAGGACUAAUGCUCCUCCUCUGCUAUCUGAUAGUCGCUGCAAGUUUCUUUGUACACAUCGACCCCGAGUCUAUACAGGACAAGCCCACAGAGACUAGUCUACAGACACUGCAGAAGGCAGCUGAAGCCAUAUAUGAUGAUCUCAGAAAUGUUUAAAUUUGAAGAGUUGUGACUGAUCUGAGAGCUGCCCAGUUUGCCAUUGUUGAGUAUGAAGUUCCAUUUUAAAGUUCAACUUCAAGGGCUAUAUACAGUCAAAGAGGCAGAAGCUAUGGGUGCUCGGGAGGCCCUAAGUUGGAUCAAGCAAAAGGGAUGGUCGCGAGUGAUUCUGGAAACGGAUGCUAAGGUGGUGACUCAAGCUGUCUACAAUGGAGAGAUUCUAACCCCUUUCGGGGCCAUUGUUCAAGAAAUCCGUGAUCUUUUAAAUGCUUUACCUUAUGUUAAAUUUAUUUCUGUUAAGCGUAGUGGUAAUCAGUUUGCUCAUGUUAUUGCUAAAAGAGCUCUUUGUAAUGAUGGUUGGGAGCGGGUUGAGUACCUGGACUCUUUACCUCGUUUUCUUUCCUCGUUGGUUUAAUAUAAUUUGGUUUGGUUUGGUUUUCAAAAAAAAAAAAA